UCAUUCAAUCGGUGACGGUGCUGUUUGUUUACGUCUAGACGGUCAUUUUUUACGCAUUUAUCUAACGAAAAUGUCGCGAAAAAUUACUCCGAUGUUUAACGAUUAUCUGUACGGUGCUAUACGGAGGCUUGCCGUCCAGCAGGGCUUCACCGAGGAUUUAUUUUCGGUGGAUUUCGACGAGGAAACGCGUUUGGAAUGUGAUGGAUUCAUAAGUUUCGUGUUCAAAGCCAUCAUCAAUGGGGACGAUCGGGAGUUGGUGCUGUGGUGUAAGGUACCCCCGAACGACGAUCCUCGCUCGUUAGCUUUGUUUAAACGCGAGGUGUACUUCUACCAAGAAAUUCUACCGGCGAUGUACGAGUUCCAAAUGACAAAGGACGUAAACGAGCAAUCGAAUGUGGGAUUUUUCAGUGCUCCGAGGUGUUAUCUUGCACAUUGUGAUGCCGAUAAAGAGGAACCUGAGGCAGUAAUUGUUUUGGAAUAUGACGAGAACUACGAGCGCUGGGAUUGGGAUAAAUUUGAACCAAUCAAUCUGGAUCAUGCGAAGCUACUGUUGCAGCAAUUGGGUCGCCUGCACGCCGUGUCUCUGGCCAUGAAAGCUCAAAAGCCGGAGAUGUUUGAAAAACUAAAGCAUGCUCUAGAAGAUAAUGUCGACUUUGGCACACUAAUGAAGGAAUCGUUCGAUCGGGCUUUGACUACUAUGAAGACAAGAUUUGCUGCCGAUCAAGUAGAAAUCCAGCAAAUGAGGGACGCUAUUUUCAGUGAACUGAACUGUUGCGCUGGCGUCGCUAGGAUUGAGGCUUUCAGCGUUAUCAGUCAUGGUGAUUGUUGGAUCAAUAAUUUCAUUUUUACACAUAAUAAGGAAAAAGCCCCUGUCAGUGUCGUUCUCACCGAUUGGCAAUCGGUGCGGUACGCGACUCCUCUAUUGGAUUUAGGCUAUUUCUUUUUCAUCUGUACUAGCAUCGAGUUUCGCAAGGAGCAUUGGGAAGAACUGCUAAAGCACUACCACAAUACACUGAGAACUCUUCUGGACCGUCUGGGAGGAAACACCGACCGCCAGUUUCCAUUUGCCGCACUGCAGUGGCUUAUAAAAGCGUUCCGGAUGUUGUUCCCCAAGGAACAAACCGAAGAGGACGAUGAAAACGGAAAACCUGAUCAGAUAGUGGGGAUGUAAAGAUAAACGCGAUUUGAAGUUACUUAAAUUUGAUCGUACAUAUUUCGGCAUAUUGUUGUAAAAAUAUCUGUGUCCUAGCACUUUCGCAGUGCGUGGGAAACUAGCAAGCAAAAGAAAAAUCGAUUUUCCGAAAGCAAGAUUGACUUGAUG